UACAGAGGGUGCGAGCGUUAAUCGGAAUUACUGGGCGUAAAGCGUGCGUAGACGGUUAUUUAAGUCGGAUGUGAAAGCCCCGGGCUCAACCUGGGAAUUGCAUUCGAGACUGAAUAGCUAGGGUGCGGUAGAGGGAAGCGGAAUUUCCGGUGUAGCGGUGAAAUGCGUAGAGAUCGGGAGGAAUACCAGUGGCGAAAGCGGCACCCUGGCGUCGUACUGACGCACAUGUGCGAAAGCGUGGGGAGCGAACGGG
rnacentral:rRNA from 1 species